AGUGAACGCUGGCGGUAGGCCCAACACAUGCAAGUCGAACGGCAGCACAGUAAGAGCUUGCUCUUACGGGUGGCGAGUGGCGGACGGGUGAGGAAUACAUCGGAAUCUACUUUUUCGUGGGGGAUAACGUAGGGAAACUUACGCUAAUACCGCAUACGACCUACGGGUGAAAGCAGGGGAUCUUCGGACCUUGCGCGAUUGAAUGAGCCGAUGUCGGAUUAGCUAGUUGGCGGGGCAAAGGCCCACCAAGGCGACGAUCCGUAGCUGGUCUGAGAGGAUGAUCAGCCACACUGGAACUGAGACACGGUCCAGACUCCUACGGGAGGCAGCAGUGGGGAAUAUUGGACAAUGGGCGCAAGCCUGAUCCAGCCAUACCGCGUGGGUGAAGAAGGCCUUCGGGUUGUAAAGCCCUUUUGUUGGGAAAGAAAAGCAGCAGGUUAAUACCCCGCUGUUCUGACGGUACCCAAAGAAUAAGCACCGGCUAACUUCGUG
rnacentral:rRNA from 1 species